rnacentral:rRNA from 1 species
AUACGUAGGUGGCAAGCGUUAUCCGGAAUUAUUGGGCGUAAAGAGUGAGCAGGCGGUUAAUUAAGUCUGAGGUUAAAGCGUGGGGCUCAAACCCAUAAAGCCUUGGAAACUGAUUGACUAGAGAACGGGAGCAGUGAAGGGAACUCCAUGUGUAGCGGUGAAAUGCGUAGAUAUAUGGAAGAACACCAGUGGCGAAGGCGCUUCACUAGCCCGAAACUGACGCUCAGUCACGAAAGCGUGGGUAGCAAAUAGGAUUAGAUACCCUAGUAGUCCACGCUGUAAACGAUGACAACUAAAUAUUGCCGCGAGGCAGUGUUGAAGCUAACGCAUUAAGUUGUCCGCCUGGGGAGUACGGUCGCAAGACUGAAACUUAAAGGAAUUGACGGGG